rnacentral:rRNA from 1 species
AUGCAGUCGAGCGGUAACAUUUCUAGCUUGCUAGAAGAUGACGAGCGGCGGACGGGUGAGUAAUGCUUGGGAAUAUGCCUUAGGGUGGGGGACAACAGUUGGAAACGACUGCUAAUACCGCAUAACGUCUACGGACCAAAGGGGGCUUCGGCUCUCGCCCUUAGAUUAGCCCAAGUGGGAUUAGCUAGUUGGUGAGGUAAUGGCUCACCAAGGCGACGAUCCCUAGCUGGUUUGAGAGGAUGAUCAGCCACACUGGAACUGAGACACGGUCCAGACUCCUACGGGAGGCAGCAGUGGGGAAUAUUGCACAAUGGGCGCAAGCCUGAUGCAGCCAUGCCGCGUGUGUGAAGAAGGCCUUAGGGUUGUAAAGCACUUUCAGUAAGGAGGAAAGGUUAGUGGUUAAUACCUGCUAGCUGUGACGUUACUUACAGAAGAAGCACCGGCUAACUCCGUGCCAGCAGCCGCGGUAAUACGGAGGGUGCGAGCGUUAAUCGGAAUUACUGGGCGUAAAGCGUACGCAGGCGGUUUGUUAAGCGAGAUGUGAAAGCCCCGGGCUCAACCUGGGAACUGCACUUCGAACUGGCAAACUAGAGUAUGAUAGAGGGUGGUAGAAUUUCAG